rnacentral:rRNA from 1 species
UACGAAGGGGGCUAGCGUUGCUCGGAAUUACUGGGCGUAAAGCGCACGUAGGCGGAUUGUUAAGUCGGGGGUGAAAUCCUGGAGCUCAACUCCAGAACUGCCUUCGAUACUGGCGAUCUCGAGUUCGGGAGAGGUGAGUGGAACUGCGAGUGUAGAGGUGAAAUUCGUAGAUAUUCGCAAGAACACCAGUGGCGAAGGCGGCAUCCUGGACCGAUACUGACACUGAGGAGCGAAAGCCAGGGGAGCAAAGCGGGG